UACGGGGGGGGCAAGCGUUGUUCGGAAUUACUGGGCGUAAAGGGCUCGUAGGCGGCCAACUAAGUUGGACGUGAAAUCCCUCGGCUUAACCGGGGAACUGCGUCCGAUACUGGAUGGCUUGAGAUUGGGAGAGGGAUGCGGAAUUCCAGGUGUAGCGGUGAAAUGCGUAGAUAUCUGGAGGAACACCGGUGGCGAAGGCGGCAUCCUGGACCAACACUGACGCUGAUGAGCGAAAGCCAGGGGAGCAAACAGG
rnacentral:rRNA from 1 species